ACACACACACACACACACACACACACACACAUCUCUAAGGAUGUAUUGCAAUUUAUUUGAGUUCUAUAUGAGAUAUAUUAAAACACCCAUAUAAGAGAAAUUAGAAUUUAACACUUUUCUUUGCUUAAUUAAUCACUUUUCUUACCAUCUAGGUUCUUUAUUUUGCAAAGAUGUUCAUCAGAACCCUGCUGAUGUGCUGUGUUUGCCUGAAGAAAGUGUAACUCUUACCUGCAACCACAGCAUCCCGAGCUAUAACAUAAUACUGUGGUAUCAGAGAACACAUGGAGACACCAGUCUGAAACUCAUCGGACAUGCUUUUUUAAGUACUUCAAAAUAUGAGGGAAAUUAUGAAGGCAAUUUUACAGUGAGUGGAAAUGGAGAGUCAGCCGUGUCUCUACAAAUUCCCAAAGCAAGACAAGGACUGCACAGCGCUCUGUAUUUCUGUGCAGCUUAUUACACACAGUGUCACACACGUCCUCUCCUUAAAACAAAAACCUCUCUUUAAUAAACUCUACAGCCUCAUACACCUGUUUAACCACAUCUCAAGUCACAAUAAACACCAAACUGCUGAUAUUAUUCCAAUAUUAAAACAUUCUGUCUGUAGAGCGACAAUGUGUGAUGUCAUUUCCUUCCUUAUAUAGAGAGGGAGAUCAGCACAGUGUAAUUUAUCCUCCUCCCACUGUCCUAACUCCUAACAGCAGAAGUUCAACAUGAUCACAGCUCUCCUUAUUCUGGCACUUCAUCACUUUUCUGGUCAAGUGGAUGGAAGUGGUGUUUUCCAGAUGCCUGAUAUAAUCUGGGGUUCUCCAGGGAACUCUGUAGAAAUGAACUGCAGUCACAAUAAAGAUAUCAACUACAGACAGAUGUACUGGUUUAAGCAGCUUCCAGGGGAGGGAAUUACACUCCUCGUAUUCACAUCGGUUGGUGUUGAACCAGAUUAUGGGAAAUUCAGUAAAGACAAAUAUGAAGCAAUUAAGACUGUAGUUGAGAGUGGCUCUUUAACAGUGAAGAACUUGGAUCCAGGAGACAGUGCUCUGUAUUUCUGUGCUGUGAGCCAACACUGUGGUACAAACUCACUACAGUGCUGUACAAAUACUGAAACAAUUAAAGACACUGUGUGGAUAUUCAUUGGGUCUCUAGGUGGUGCUGUAGUUUUAUGUAUUCAUUCACUAAAAGAGGUUUUAUAUGAAGCACCUUACACUUGCAGCAGAAUUAAGUUAUGGCAUUCAUCUGAGCAGCUUUAGGGUAAAGAACCUUGCUCGAGACUUUUUUCAACUCAAAGAACGUACACAGACAUCAAACCGUGCUGUCAUAUGAAUAGGAGAC